AUUCCUAGUUACAUGUUUUGAAACAGUUUUUUGAGUGGUUGGGUAAAACAAAUAUUUGCCAGAACUUAAACAGCCUCUAGAUUCAAAUUGUUUUGGGGAACACCCUUAGCUACAUGCGCGCGGCCUGCACCCAAAAUAGAGUUUGUCUGGCCUUUCUCCAAUUCUCCCACCCAACCACACUAUUAUUCUGUCACCUAUAUGCAGGUAAAAAAUCCUUUGAUCCCCCCCCCCCAGUCAAACACCCGUUGCCUUUGUAACAUCCCUGUGUGCAGUUCUAAUUUUUUCUUAAAAUAAACCCUGUUAACAGGAAUUCUUCAGCAGAUCUCUUUUACG